rnacentral:rRNA from 1 species
UGCGUCAUGCCGCGUGGAGGAAGACGGCCCUAUGGGGCGUAAACUGCUUUUCUGAAUGAAGAAACCCCUGGUUUUUCCGGACCUUGCGGGAGUUCAGGAAUUAGCGCCGGGUCACUUCCUGGCCGCCGCCGGGGGAAUUCGGAAGGGGCCAGCGUUGUUCGGAAUUCCUGGGGGUUAAGGGGGGGCCGGGGGGGCAACUAGUCGGAUGUGAAACCCCUUGGGUUCACCCGGAAAGUGGCUUUUAAACUGUUGUGCUUGGGUCGCGGAGAAGGUGGGGGAAUUGUUGGUGGUACGGGGAAAUGGCAUAAUUUUGCUAGGAACCCCCGAUGCGAAAACGGGCUUAUGGACUGGUAACUGACGCUGAGGCACGAAAAGCGUGGGGUAGCAAACAGGAUUAGAUACCCCUGGUAGUCCACUGCCGUAAAACGAUUGAACACUCGCCAGUUGCGCUCACCUAGUGGUAAGCUGCCCUAGCUGAAAGCGUUAAGUGUUCCACCUGGGGGAGUACGAGCCGCAAGGUUAAAACUCAAGAA